rnacentral:tRNA from 2 species
CGGGGCGUGGCGCAGCUUGGUAGCGCGCUUGGUUCGGGACCAAGAGGCCGCAGGUUCGAAUCCUGUCGCCCCGACCA